rnacentral:rRNA from 1 species
GACGAACGCUGGCGGCGUGCCUAACACAUGCAAGUCGAACGGAAAGGCCCUGCUUGCCGGGUACUCGAGUGGCGAACGGGUGAGUAACACGUGGGUGAUCUGCCCUGCACUUCGGGAUAAGCCUGGGAAACUGGGUCUAAUACCGGAUAGGAGCCAUUUUUAGUGUGAUGGUUGGAAAGUUUUUUCGGUGUAGGAUGAGCUCGCGGCCUAUCAGCUUGUUGGUGGGGUAAUGGCCUACCAAGGCGGCGACGGGUAGCCGGCCUGAGAGGGUGGACGGCCACAUUGGGACUGAGAUACGGCCCAGACUCCUACGGGAGGCAGCAGUGGGGAAUAUUGCACAAUGGGCGCAAGCCUGAUGCAGCGACGCCGCGUGGGGGAUGACGGCCUUCGGGUUGUAAACUCCCUUCGCUAGGGACGAAGCUUUUUGUGACGGUACCUAGAUAAGAAGCACCGGCUAACUACGUG